AAUUGGAGGGCAAGUCUGGUGCCAGCAGCCGCGGUAAUUCCAGCUCCAAUAGCGUAUAUUAAAGUUGUUGCAGUUAAAAAGCUCGUAGUUGAAUUUCGGGAUCAGUACGUCGGUCGUGCCUUCGGUAUGCACUGGUGUCACUGGUUCCUCCCUUCUGACGAACCGUCAUGCCAUUAAUUUGGUGUGGCGGGAAAUCAGGACUGUUACUUUGAAAAAAUUAGAGUGUUUAAAGCAGGCUCACGCUUGAAUACAUUAGCAUGGAAUAAUGAAAUAGGACGUUGAUCUUAUUUUGUUGGUUUCUAGGAUUGACGUAAUGAUUAAUAGGGAUAGUUGGGGGCAUUAGUAUUCAAUUGUCAGAGGUGAAAUUCUUGGAUUUAUUGAAGACUAACUACUGCGAAAGCAUUUGCCAAGGAUGUUUUCAUUAAUCAAGAACGAAAGUUAGGGGAUCGAAGACGAUCAGAUACCGUCGUAGUCUUAACCAUAAACUAUGCCGACUAGGGAUCGGAUGAUGUUAUUUUUAAUGACUCAUUCGGCGCCUUACGGGAAACCAAAGUGU
rnacentral:rRNA from 1 species